CAUAGCAAGCAGACUCAUAAUAUAAGCAGGAAAUCGCUCUCUUGCUCUUCUUCUUCCUCCUGCUCUCUUCUCUAAAGAGCUGCCAUGUGAUCCCAGGAAAAGAACGUCCUCGAUAAAGAAAUGGACAGAUCCAAGGUUAAACAUCUCACCAUCCUUUCUCAGGAAGACCAUAGCAGUACACAAAUGACUUCUGUGAACCACUGAACUUUCUUUAAACCAGAGGAUAUGAAAAAUCUUUGCUUUUGAGAGUUGAAGCCCACCUAUAAAAGUUUCUGAAGUUAAGGGAGGAUUAAGCUUAAAUUGCAGCUAAAAUUUUGUGUCAUAGAGAAUUUACAUGUGUAGAUUAACCCAAAAUGCAUUUGUGUGCAGCAAAGGUUAAAGACAUGGAUCCCACAUCAUACUGUCCAUAUUCAAACUCCAUCAGGAUCAUUAGCAGUAGCAUCAUCAGUAGACCAUUUAGCCCACUUAAUAUCUCUGGACCUCAGUCCAGUUGUUGGAGAACAGGAAAUGAUCAUAUGACAUACUUCUUUGGGUCAAUAUAAGAUUUUAUAAAACACAGCAGUGCUUGCUCCGUAGCAAGUGUUGCUUAUCAUAGGUCUAACUAACAACCUGGUGUCACACACACAAUCAGUGAAGAAGACACAAUAAUAAUUAAGGAAUGAAUCCUGGUCCCUUAGGAGACUCUGAGAUCCUAAAGCAGACAGAAUCAAAAGCAGAGUUCCAGGACAAGUAUGGUGGCACUCAUCUUUUAUCCCAGCAUUCUUGAGACAGAGGCAGGUGGACCUCUAUGAGUUCAAGGACAGCCUGGUUUAAAAAGUGAGUUCCAGUCCAGCCAAGGUGUAUGAUGAGACCCUGUCUCAAAUGAAACAAAGCAAAACAUAAAGCAGAAUUCCAGAAGAUAGUAAACCCUGUGGCUGGGCAUAGUGGGAUUAUAGAAGAGAGGUAGCAGGCUGAGCCUGGCAAGGCUUCCUAGAAGAAACAAUAUCUAAGUUAAAUUUUCAGAGAUAGUCAAUAGAUAGCAAGGUUCUUACAUUAUGUUUAACAUCUUUUAGUUCUUUUUUUUUUUUUUUUUUUUUUUUGCUUUCCAAAAAAUCCUUUCCGAAUGUCCUAACCUAUAAAAUAAUAAUAAUCAGCUGGAAAAUUUAAAUGAAUUUCCUCGGAGCAGUUCCAAUGUUUUCUGCAAUACAUAGCUAGCUGUUACCCAGCAAUUCACAUGAGUAUGUUUUGGCUGAGAAAUUUUGCCCAGGUAUCAUCUGAAAACAGGUGCUAAGCCCAUGCUGAGUGCUUUGGAGAGGAAAGAGCAUACAUAUUGACUAGCUUAAGUGCUAAAAACAAUGCAAUAGCUAGCUAAGGAAAUAUCACCAGGACCCCGCCAGUAGAACUGGAACAAAGGGGUGUGUCUAGACCUCUCCUUGCCCUAUUGCUUAAUGCAGUACUUGGCAAUAAACAUCUAAUGAUUUAACACAUGAAGAAUUGAAUAGAAGUAAUGGCUUUUAGAAAGCAGAGAAUGAUAAACCAUCUGAUCACCGGAAAUAAUAAAUACCAACUGUCCUAAGUGUGUAUGGUGUGUGUAAAGCAUUGCAGUUAGAACUGUACAUCAUUGAUCACAUUUUGUCUUAGAAACUUCUCUUCAUUUUGAAUUGCAUGCCUGUUGACCACUUUAACAAAUCCACACAUAGGCACUUGACCGUCCAGGCAUUAUUGUAGAAGUUUCGGACAGUCUUGUGAACAACGAUAACAAAAAAAUUGAUUUUCAGGGAGGUUGAGUUGGGGGAAGAACAGAAGAGAGAAAGAUAAGAGAUAAUAUAAUAGAGGGAGACAUUGUAAGUUCAAAGAGAAAUCAGGCACUAGGGAAAUGUCUGGAGAGCUACAAAGAUGACACCAACUAACAAUCUUAGCAACAGAGGAGAGGCUACCUUAAAUGCCCUCUCCUGAGGCAUUGAGAUUGAUGACUAAUUCAUAUGCCAUCAUAUAGCCUUCAUCCAGCAGUUGGUGGAAGUAGAAGCAGACACCCACAGCUAACCUUGAACUGAACUGAAAUCCAGAUGCAGAGAAGGAGGACUGACAAGCAAAGGGGUCCAUAGCAGGCUGGUGAAACCCACAGAAACAGCUGACCUGAACAAGGGUAAACUCUUGGUCCCCAGACUGAUAGCUGGGAAAACAGCAUGGGACUGAUCCAGACCCCCUGAAUGUGGGUGUCAGUGAGGAGACCUUGGAAAUCUAUGGGGCCUCUUGUAGUGGAUCAGUACUUAUCGCUAGCAUAGGAAUGGACUUUAGGAGCCCAUCCCACAUGGAGGGGUACUCCCUGAGCCUAGACCAAGGGGAUUGGCCUAGGCCCUAUCCCAAAGAAUAUGACAGACUUUGAAGACCCCCCCAUGGAAGGCCUCGCCUUACCUGGGGAGCAGAAAGGAUAUGAGACGGGUAAGGCGUUAGUUGGGGGGGGCAGG
rnacentral:lncRNA from 1 species